rnacentral:lncRNA from 1 species
GCUCAAAGUUAGCAGAAGGAAAGAAAUAAUAAAUCCCAGAGCAGAAACACACUAGAGAGAAGAAUAGAAAUUCUGAGAAUCAAUGAAACUAAGAGUUGAAUAGCAAAAAGUACCAUAGUCAAAAGAUAACUGUUAGUUGUAGGAAAAUAUUUGUGAUGUUUAUUAGAGAUGAGUUCAGAUGUCCAUAAUAAAGAUAGAGCUUUUGAAAAAUUGAAAAGGGAAAGAACAUAAUCUGAUAGGAAAAAAAUAAACAUGACUCUCAAACCAACAAUUCACAAUCACAAAAUAUUUUAAAAGGACUUGAACAUACAAAAUAUGUUAUAACUUCAUCUCAAGUCAUUCCUCCUCUCAUUCAUUGUAUUCCUAGAAUAUUCUAAACUUUUUUUCCUCCGUAGAAGGAAUAAAGUUUAGAAUAUGUGAUGCUUGUUCACCUUAAUGUUCUACCCUCAACUCCUUGAACAGCUCACCUCCUCUCAUUCUUCAGGUUUUCACUUACAAGCCACCUCCUCAAAGAGGCCUUCUCUGGAUCCCCUAUCCAAAGUACUAAUUGUCCCUCCACCACAGCUGUUGUUAAUUUAUUUUAUCACAGCAUAACCUAUACUAUCCAAUUUGAAUAUCAGCUUCCUAAGGAAAAGUGCUUUGUCUGGUUUGUUCACCAUCGUAUCCUCCAUGUCUAGCAGAUGCAAGAAAAGUGAAGUAAUUACAGUUCAGGAAACAGCAUACUAAGUUAUGGGAUUUGACAUCGAAAUCACCAGAGUGAAGAUAAGUUCCCAAUAUGAAGAAUUACAGUGAGUUACUGAAAGGAAUUAAGGAGGUUCAAAGAAUUGAUAAUAAAGUGUGAGGUAGGUUAUCCACAUUUUUACUUAAGUUAUAAACCACAAUAUCUCUCAGUUUAAGUACUAUCUCUAGAGGAUCUAAUUCUCUUAGUAACCUCCAUUUAAUAAUUUAUUUUUAUUUUUUGGUACUAGGGAUUGAACUCAGGGGCGCUUCACCACUGAAAGUCCCCAGCCCUUUUUAUUUUGAGACAAGUUCUAACUAAGUUGCUUAGGGCCUCACUAAAUUGCUGAGGCUGGCCUUAAACUUGCAAUCCUUCCACCUCAGCCUCCUGAGUUACUGUUUACAGGCAUGCAGCACUGCACCUGGAUUAAUAAACCUUUUUUAAAAAAACUCUUUGAGACUUCUCUUUUAUCCCUCCUUCUUCUUUCAUCUAGUCAUCCAAUUCCUCUGGCUGUAUCUGCUUCCUUCUCCAUCCUACAAUGUCAAUUUAUAACAUUAAUGUCUAUCCUUUCCCUCUAUAGUGAUUAUCAAGCAUGAAUCUAAGAAAGACCUGAAUAGGUUUAAAUUUGAACACAUGACUUGGACCCACCCUUUGGAUUCAGGAGGACUAUGGUGGAGGCUCAUUUCAAAAAAACGCCCCAGAAGAGCUGGAUACAGACAAUCCAAGAAAAAAAGAAACACUGAUCUGGAGCAAACUCCUUUAAUAACACCCUGCCU